CCUCGCUCACCAGAGCGUUGCUGCCCUGCUUCGGCGUGGUUCCACGCCAGAGCCGCCACUCCACAAACCCAGCCCUCUUUCCCCUCGACCCCCACAGCGCAGCGCAGCACCACUCUCUCCUCCCUCGUCAGCCGCCACCGGGUCAUCUCGCUGGUGUGGAGGAGUAGCGGAUCUGGCCGCAUCCGAGGCGUGCGGGCGUGGCGGCGGGCAUCUCUGGUAGCGGCGGCGAUCUGCAGGCAAAAUACGAUGGCCGGGGCACUCGAUUCGAUCUAGUGCUGUGGACCGGUCCCUGUAGGAGAGAAAAUAUGAGGGAGAGAGAGAAAGGAAGAAGAGGAGGGAGAAACAGAGAUGAAAGAGGAGAGGGAGGUGUGACGGUGGAUGGGAGAGGGUCUCCGGCCGACGCCGGACAUUCACAUAUCUCCCCCUCUCCUGCUCUCGACCACCACCGUGGCCCUCUUCCUCCCCUUCGAUUCUCCAUCUCCUCUUCCUUGGAGCUAGCUGAGUGGUCCACGAUGAGGAAGAUGGGGAAGACAGAUCCGCCGAUGCUGACCGGCAAAUUCCGUCGGGCGCUGUCGUGGGAAGAGGCGCACCAGAGUAGCAGCACGGGAGGAGAUGAAGGUCGAGGAAGAGGGCAAAGACGCGGGGGUGGAAGAAGAUAUGCUUGUGGUCAUCGCCUUCCGAGACGACGGACCGGGCGAUUCAGAUUUCUCUCGUUCCUUGCCUCAAUGACAUGCUCUGCUUCUUCAGCUUGCAGGGAUAUAAGGAGAGAACUCUAUUGUUGGCAGUGAUUGCAUCAUUUCCACAAGUGGGAUGAGGAGAGAGCUCUAUUGUUGGCAUGGACUGAUGGCAUGAUCUGUACGUAAGGUUGAAGAUUCUGAAUUAGUGGUAACCUGAAAAGUGCCUUACAUGAGGACUGCUGGUGAUCUUAUAUACUUAUAUGUAUAUAUUUUCGUUAUGAAGAACAAGUGAGAAAUCACUGAUGCACAUGGAUGACAGCUUUCCCACGAUGAAACAAAACUGAGAGUUUUUGUAGGACCUACUAGGAUGCAUACCUUUAGGACUGUAUCUACUGGUUCAGGAGGGAGCAGCAGGUAGAAGAAAUCCAAAGCCAAUUUCGCUCAGCUGUAGCGUCUUCCAUUGACAAUAAAACUGCACAGCAGCCUAAUGUGGUUAGUUCUUGCAAUUAAAAACACAAAUCUUUCAGUUUCUCUCCAUUCGCUGGUAAAAAAGCAUAGUGAUUUUCCUCUAUAAAUACCCAACUAUAGAAUACCUUAGUUAAAUCAAUCAAUAGUGAGUUGUAUUACUAGAGACGUACUUAAGAAAAUGCCCUUAGGUGUGACACUCUACAUGGUUACCUUCUUUAGUCCCAGUUAUUUAUCAUACUGAGAUAACACUCUUCCAAGCGGAAUGUUUGUUUUUAUAUACUUCUAGAUGCUAAUUUACUGUUCUUGAUUUUGGCGGGGAUAUUCCUUCAUUUGCUUGGUUGGCUGUCAAUGCUCACCAAUUUUUGAAUAUGUCCCAUGGCUAAAUUUAGUCCAACAUUUCCCGUAUGUAUCUUCUUCUGCUAUCAAUGUUAAUUCUGCCAUAAGCAUAUUACUCUCCUAGCAUUUUUUUCUUUCGAUGAAAAACACAGACACUUGUUCAGUUUUUUACUACACAGAAAAAGAUAAGUUCAAUUUGGUUUCUAAUGUUCAUGUCGGCCUUUGCCUAAGCAAAGAAAGGUAACCAGUUUAUAUUGUAAUCUGGUUUUUAGUUUGUCUUUGAUUCAACCUUUUUUUGUGUGUGUUGUCUAACUGUUAGAUUGUCUGGAACAUCUCAGAACAACCUUUCGUGUCCCCGAUAUUAUCUCGUUUCCUGAACAAUAUUAUUUUAUUUGCUUUAUCUGCCACCAUGAAUUCCUAUAGUUGCUUUCUCUCCUUCCAAUUGAUAUUCUUAGAUGUGAUUCUAUUAGAAAUUUUGUGCCACGACAGAAGUAAUGGUUGAUUGUUCUGGUUUAGCCUUUAUGUCAGUUGUUGCUGAGGGUCCAGUUUCUCAUUUUUCAGAUUUUGUAGUAGCAGGGCUGUGUAUAAUAUGGAUAACUGAACUGGUGUUUAGGGGUUUCAGUGCAGGACUGCUACUUGCUCGAUUAGUUAGAUCGACUGGUGUUAGAUUUCAGUGAGGAGUGAUGUUUCAGUUUCGAUUGCAGGGCUUCGAGAUGCACCAUGAGGAUUGAAACGAGUCUUAUACAGGGCUGCUAAAUUAUUAUGCUUUUGGUCUUUCCUGAAUUUAAUUACCAUAAAUACUUCCAGAAUACCUCUUAUAAUAGGGAAGUUUGUUGUUAACAACACUGAUUUUGCCAGUUUGUGGAACAUGCUUCAUUUUUGCAGGUAAAGAGAAGGAAAAGAGAACAUUGGAGAAAAAGGCAGCAGGACGGAUUCUCUAAGCUUUCUCAUAUGUUUGAACAAUUAGAAGAUAGUUACAAUCAUUUUUCUCUUGCCUUAUUAAAUCUUGAUGUUAAUAGGCUUUGGAAGGUACUAUGCACCCCGAUCAAGGUUUACAGAAUUUGCACCAUCCUAUUACAGUUUGUUCUAAUGACAUAAUUGACCAGUUCUUCCUUGAGUAAAUUAAUAUUGUAGAUGCUA